rnacentral:tRNA from 1 species
UCCCUGGGGGUCCAGUGGCAGGACUCAGCACUUUUACUGCUGACUCCCAGGUUCAAUCCCUGGUCAGGGAA